rnacentral:rRNA from 1 species
CUGGCGGUAUGCUUACACAUGCAAGUCGAACGGCAGCACGGACUUCGGUCUGGUGGCGAGUGGCGAACGGGUGAGUAAUGCAUCGGAACGUGCCCAUCUGUGGGGGAUAGCUCGGCGAAAGCCGGAUUAAUACCGCAUACGAUCUAUGGAUGAAAGCGGGGGACCUUCGGGCCUCGCGCAGAUGGAGCGGCCGAUGUUAGAUUAGGUAGUUGGUGGGGUAAAGGCUCACCAAGCCGACGAUCUAUAGCUGGUCUGAGAGGACGAUCAGCCACACUGGGACUG